UUCCUACGAAAUAAACGAGAAACGGCUAAAACUUCCACAUACUUCCAAUAAAUGAACUCUUUUCCUGUCAAUCUGCGAAGUAUUAACUGAACAAAAGCCCUCUACAAACAUUAUUCAUCUGAAAAUAUCACCCGUGGAAGCAAAGCUCAAGUAAUGCUCGCCAUUUUGAUUCUGAAGUGACAGGAAAAUGAUGCGAAGAAAUAGUGUUAUACGAUUGGUCAAUAAUGAAACAGGUAAAUAAUGACAAUGGUUUUAACCAAUCAAGUCCUAGCAUAAUAUUAAGUGCAUAACAGUAUACAUGGGGCUAAAAUAACUGUCACAAAUUAAAUAACUUCGUACUCUUUAGAUGAAUUAUGUUUGUAGAGGGCUUUUGUUCAGAUAAGACUUCGCAGAUUGACAGAAAAAGAGUUCAUUUAUUGAAAAUUGUGAAAAGCGUCCACUGAAGAUCAGCACAAUCAAAUGCGCUGCCACCAGACAAACUAGUUUUUAACAGAGCAGAAGUUAUAGUGCUAACUGUAGAUUCGACAAACACAAUGACAACGAUAAUGGUGACGAUCCAGAUCCUGGUGACAAACACAGCCACAGUCAUACUGGGAACUGUGUGAACUGCUUCAUGCAACCAUGUGUUGCUCUUCCACAAACACAUUUUGUGUGGAGAUGGCCAAGAAGCCUCCGAUUGUAAUCCAGCAGUUAGGAAGGGAAUUUAUAUAAUUACCAAAGAUAUUGGAAUGUUAUUUACAAUUUGGGUGGAUGGUACUUGUCUCAAUAUGAACACACAGUUGGCUCAGCAAAACAACCUUGUGCACUUGAAAAGAGAAAUAAUGCUCGACUGUGUCCUCUCUUUAGUAAGAGGCCUAUAUCCAAACCCUGCAGGAUGACCAUACAUGGGCCAUUAAUGGGAAUAAAGAACAUAGUAAUGUAGAACAUUGGUCAGAUGAACUGAAAAAUAUCCCAGCAAGAGGGCCAAGAUGGCCCUAGAUCGCUCACUUGAGUAACAUACCAUUAAAGUGUAAACAUGUUUUACAUAGUGAUUUCAUGGAGACAAAAGUUCUGACCAAUUUUUAUUAGAUUGGAUCAAAAAACAUCACCUCUUCAGUUUAAACAAGAUUUUCUUUGAUUUGACCAAGUUUUUUUACCACACAUGACCCAGUCCAAAAUUUAAUGAAAACACAUUCUGAUAGUUUCGGGAAGAAAAGUGGCCUCUAGAUUGUAUACAAGCUUUUCCUCUGAUUUGAUCUUGUGACCUAGACUUUGACAUCAUGAGACCAAAACUUAUAAUAUCAGCUUACAAUUAAAUGAUUAAAAUGCACUUGCAUAGAUGUUCAUUCAGAGCCAGAGGUAACGGAAGCCGUAGAGAUCCAGGACUUCAUCUUCUGAAAGCCACUCCACCAGAGCUCUUAAACCAUGAUGGCACAAACAGAGGAAAAGAAAUUGCAAAGGUGACUGAUUACCAACGCCUUGCCAGAGAUUGGAAGACAAUUUUCUUGAAAUCACUUGAUCACUUCUUCCUACCAUGACCGACAAACUGCCAUCUUGCGCCGAAUAAGGACCUUCUUUGUAGUAAAACGACAAGGUCUUAGAAGGAGAUAAAACCAAAUGUAGGGAUAUCAUUGACCUACAUCUACAGAUGGA
rnacentral:misc_RNA from 1 species